rnacentral:rRNA from 1 species
GAUGAACGCUGGCGGCGUGCCUAACACAUGCAAGUCGAGCGAUUCUCUUCGGAGAAGAGCGGCGGACGGGUGAGUAACGCGUGGGUAACCUGCCCUGUACACACGGAUAACAUACCGAAAGGUAUGCUAAUACGAGAUAAUAUGCUUUUAUCGCAUGGUAGAAGUAUCAAAGCUCCGGCGGUACAGGAUGGACCCGCGUCUGAUUAGCUAGUUGGUAAGGUAACGGCUUACCAAGGCGACGAUCAGUAGCCGACCUGAGAGGGUGAUCGGCCACAUUGGAACUGAGACACGGUCCAAACUCCUACGGGAGGCAGCAGUGGGGAAUAUUGCACAAUGGGCGAAAGCCUGAUGCAGCAACGCCGCGUGAGCGAUGAAGGCCUU